rnacentral:lncRNA from 1 species
UGGGGCCCUCCACUAUUUAUUUGAUAGCAAGAUUGAAGGAUGAGUGCCAUCCUCAUGACUUUAUUAUCAUCUACGAAAAAUAAAUAAAAAAACAUAUAUUCACCCAAAAGUAAUUGAAAAAAAGAAAAUCUUAUUUCUACAACGUGACUCACAUUGCCGGAGACAGGUGGGUUCCGUGUUCUUCGCUGAAUUAACGCGUCAGGGACACGAUCCUUCAUCACUCAUGUGGGCACACAUGCCGCUCGCCCAUUGCAUCGUUCUUCAUGUCAUAAGGAAGGAAGGGGUCGCAGUUAAGACCGAUUGUGAGAUAAUUAACCACGUCUAAUUAAAUAUGGAAGCAGGAAACCUUCUUUUCUUAAUCCAACAUCAUCACUACAGUUAAUGCAGCAUAUUGGUGUUAGAACGUUGAUUAGCCGACACGUCUAAAGUCUGAACAAGCAAAAGACUUUGGAGAGAACAAAAAUGAGAGAUGGGGAGGGGAGGAGGCCAAGUGAGACCUUUUGUCGUCGUGGUGGUCUGAGGAGGGAACGCAU